rnacentral:rRNA from 1 species
UACGGAGGAUCCAAGCGUUAUCCGGAUUUAUUGGGUUUAAAGGGUGCGUAGGCGGCUUAUUAAGUCAGGGGUGAAAGACGGUGGCUCAACCAUCGCAGUGCCUUUGAUACUGAUGAGCUUGAGUACACUUGAGGUAGGCGGAAUGUGACAAGUAGCGGUGAAAUGCAUAGAUAUGUCACAGAACACCAAUUGCGAAGGCAGCUUACUAAGGUGCAAUUGACGCUGAGGCACGAAAGCGUGGGGAUCAAACAGG